GGUGAACGCUGGCGGCGUGCUUAAGACAUGCAAGUCGAACGGCAGUCUUCGGACUGUAGUGGCGCACGGGUGAGUAACGCGUAACUGACCUACCCCAAAGUCGCGGAUAACGAUUCGAAAGAAUCGCUAAUACGUGAUGUGCUGUCAGAUUGUGUUCUGCCAGUAAAGAUUGAUUGCUUUGGGAUGGGGUUGCGUUCCAUCAGCUAGUUGUUGGGGUAAAGGCCCACCAAGGCGACGACGGAUAGCGGGCCUGAGAGGGUGGCCGGCCACAGGGGAACUGAGACACGGGUCCCACUCCUACGGGAGGCAGCAGUUAGGAAUCUUCCACAAUGGGCGAAAGCCUGAUGGAGCGACGCCGCGUGAGGGAUGAAGGUCUUCGGAUCGUAAACCUCUGAAUCAGGGACGAAAGACACUUCGGUGGGAUGACGGUACCUGAGUAAUAGCACCGGCUAACUCCGUGCCAGCCGCCGCCGUAAGAC
rnacentral:rRNA from 1 species